CAGUUAGUCACUUAUGCCAAACAUUGUUUUUUGGCAUAUUUCAGUCUGAUCAGUUCCUUGCAGGAAUUCCCACAAGGGUAGAAUGGAUAUCCAGCUUGUUGAAGCCUCUUCUAAAUAAUUUAAGAUGGCUCUGGCAAUUUCUGUAGCUUAAGUCAAGACUGGAAAAUGGAAUCUUCCAAAGUCAACAGCCAUAUUAAGUAUGGAAAGGAACUUGUGUAAAAAAAUUUUCCCACAUUUUGAGUAACUCUGUAUUUUCUGAAAUGAGAUACCUGCCUUUUGCAUCAGAUGUCUAUGUGGCUUAAAUAAUAUGUAGUCAUUGUUCUUUUGCCUUCUACUUUUGGCUGGUGUUACUGUUUUGUUAAGAAAUAAUUUUAGAUUUUUCUUGACUUCAGCAUUGCUAUUUAUCAUAAAUUCACUAGUCAGGUAGGGUGAAGAGAAAAGACCAAGACUAGUUUCUCAUUCUAACUGCUCAGCAAUGAAAAUGUGUCUUAAUUAUAUUCAGCUCUUGCACAAAAGGCUUAGUCACUCAAAGUUAAUAAGGCCUAAUGGCUUCCCACCCCACAGAGUUCUCAGCCUGCCUUGCAGCUCCUGAUCUGAGGCGGCCAUGUGAUGGACAGAGUGGAGAAAGGCAGCAGCAAGAGCAGCUCUGAAGAUAAUUGUUAGCAGAUCUGAGCGCCUUAUAUUUCACUUGCUCAUUUGAAAACAGCCAGGGCCCCUUUAACAGCAUUCAGGAAAAUUUCACAGAAGAGAAGACUCCUACUCCAAACAAUUAUUAGCACCAUGCCCUCAUUAUGUCAGUUGUAAUGACAAUUACAGGUCUUUUUGAUGUGUCGGUGCAUGGCCUGGCCUGUCAGAUGCACCAGUGGGCAGCUGGAUGCCUAGGUGGGCAACAGUCUGCUCCGUGAUUCCUGUAGACUUGCUAGUCUAGUUUGGAUCAAAAACUGAACAGAGAAAGGCAUGUUCCCUCCAAUCUUUUAGACUCUUCCUGCCGAGGUACUGUAGUUCUGUCUGUUCACUGAAAGCCCAGCACAGCCCAGAAGAGGCCUGGUCGAGAAACAGACACAGGCAGCCAGUUGCCCAUAGCAACUGUAGUCCCACGCUUUUGCUGGUUUGCAGUCCCCUGCAAAGCUGACUGCUGAUGGCUCCUGUUUUUCCUGAGAGAAGAGUGUGUGUGUGUGUGUGUGUGUGUGGAUAGCUCUUUACUGUGGGAUGGAGAGAAAUGGGAUGGCAGAAUUGGCUGUAUGGGCAGCAGUGUUUGUUGCCCAAGCUACUGUGCAGACAGGAACAGUGGGAACAGCAAACCCAGAUUCUCAGGUCUUUUCUGUCAGCCUUUUCUAUUCCAUCUUAGGAGCCUAAGAGCACUCCAACUCCCUCUAUCUGCUGUCAGGUUGAGAAGGUUCAAUUUUACGUUUGUUACAGGGAAACCUUGAAUUUAAUCUCAAGUACUUGAUGAGCUGCAUUUCCUUCUAGUCCAGAAAAAUGAUCUGGAAUAUAGUUAAAUUUAAAUGUCUGACUGGUCUCUCACUUUUAUUCUUAAUCCUGAAAGGAAACAGGAGGAAAUUUCUCUCAGAGAGUACAAGUCAGGAAUUGCUGCAUGAAGUUCUUUUGGCUGAAAUUCAGAAGGCCAGACUAGAUAAUCAGGUAACCCUAUGGAAUCCCACCAUCUAGUUUUGAAGCUGAAGAUUUGAAAAAUUCCUCCCUUAUGAAAAAAGCUAUGAAGUAUACCCAAAGGACAGCUUAGGUCACGGAGGUGUGAGGAGAGUCCUGUAACUUUAAAGAAAGAAGUGACUCUGAAUAAACUGAUGAGGUAAAAUUUUAGUGAAAUACAUGUGACUGUAGAGUUAGAACUCUCCCACAGUCUGUUUAGAGGUGGACUAACAGCUCGUGCAAACAGCUUUUUCCUCAAUACAUAGAUACUGCAUACAUGCUGCCGAGGGGGAUCUUGGAGAAGUCAGUCAAUGAAGCAGUAAUAACAGGGGAAUUGACACAAAACAUACAUGAACUAUCUUGGGUAUGACAAAAGCACAGGGAUUUAGAGCACAGGUUGUAAAGCAGUUGUUCCAAGAGGAUGGGUGACUCUAAUUAACAUGAAAGAUUCCUGUGGGAGUCUGUUUGAGAAGGACAUUGAUAAGUCAUUAAAAAAUCCUACAAUCACUUGGAGUUCAGUCCAUAGACUAGAAGAAGAGAAUUUCCUGAAGUAGACAAUACCAGUGAAGAAAAGGCCUUUCACAUAACAAAGGAUCUAGCUAAAGAGUCAAAAUGACAUGGAGGAGUAAAAUGUGUGAAAGCAGAUGAAAGUGUGUUGGCAAACACAGAACAGAAAGAGCACUUGUGACUUUGCUUUUCCCUGUCACUGCAAUUCCUUCCUGGGAUGUGUGACCAAAAACGAAUAGAGUUCACGCUGGAGUAUACCGUUAAUUUAUAGAGUGGCGUUACAAAAAUAUAAUUGUUUCUCUGCCCUCUUUCUCAUUCAUCAUUAAUGUUCCUUUCCUUUCCCUUUUUUUUUUCUUUUUAA